UAUUAUUUUAAAAUCGACACUACAAUUACCGGUGCUAUUUCAACUUCUCCCGCCGGCUGAUGCUUCCGUCGCCGUUCGCCGCUGGUCGAUGCUCCCUCGCCUGCUGCAUCAAUGGCUCCUUCCUUUUUACUCCUAUGUUUCUUCUACUUGGAACUGGAGGAUGAGCACCAUGAAGAAGUCUUGAAAAGAACAUCGUCUGUUUAAUGUAUCACAAGUCGUCUGAUGAAUGUGAUUUUACAGCGAGAUGUUUGGCAUGGCACUAUGCUCUACUUCUCUUGUCUGGUCGAGAGAGGAGUUACUGCCUCAGUCGUUAAUUUUAAACACAUCUGAGCAAGAGUGAUGCAUUCAAAGUCACUCAAACCUAUCAGAUAAUAGUUAAAUAAGUCUAUCUAUUUUGGUUGGAUGUUUUGUUCCUUCUUUUGUUUAAUCUCUUGAGAUCACUUGUAUUCAAGGUGAAAUAUUAUCCAACUAGGUUUCUUGUGGUAUUAAACUGAAAAGAGUUGAUCUGAAACCGAACCAGAGUGCCAAUAUGUAUAGCAUUUCUUAAUUUUUAACACAUUGGAAUUUAUAACAGAAACAUUUUGUAACAA